rnacentral:lncRNA from 1 species
CUGGUUUCAGUUUUCUGUAAUUUCAAUUCAGUUUUUCCCUUGUAAUCUAAACUCCUACAUUUCUGUUUCAUUGUACUACGCCCGCAAGCUUGUAAUCCAACAGAUUCUUUAUCCAAGAAGCUAGUUGAUGAAAUCUACCUGACCAUUGACACAACAUACAGUUUGCAGUCUACUGCAGCUGAUAUAAAAAGCGUAGCCUCGACAUGGAGGCACUCGAUAUGCUGUGGCAGAAUAAGGGUAAUCUGCAUUUUAAUCUAAAAUUCUCCACUACUUUAUCUCAAUUCUGAUCCUUCUUUGCUAGCAUCUUGUUCAUGAACUUGUCCUUUGUGGUUUGUAUUAAAUCCGUGAGCAUAACUUGUGGAAUGCCACUGAUACCUUUUUCUACUAAUUAGAAUUCACAUCGUUACUUGGAUAGUUGAUAAAAUAUGGAUUGUGGAGAAACAUGAGACGUGAAUUGUUAUUUAUAGUUUCAUGAAUAUUGAAAGAUGUUAUGUUAUCAUAACUCCAUCUGUGGUGGUUGUAAAUUUAAUUUGUUUAAUUGAUCUGGUGGUAUUUGAUGGUUCAUGUGGAAUAUGGAAAAGGAUUUGAUCCUUUAACAAUUAUUACUAUGAGUAUUGAGUAUCUUUUAGUCAGGUUGCAAUAGUUUGAAAGUCAGAUUGGGACGAGCACCCAUAUUUUGGUGAAAUAUGUGAGCUGGUUAGUUGUUGAUCCAAGAGAAAUGAUGCAGAACAUGUGUCCUGAUUCAAUGUCUAAACUAGUUUCAUCAUUAUUGAUCUUCCCAUAUUUCUUGUUCUGUCGGCCCUCUCAAUUGGCACAAGACUGAUUUUGAGCCAGGAAGUUUUGGAAGAGAGAUGUAAUGAUUUUUUUAUUAGCUUAUGUGUUGAUUGCUUUUCAAAAUUAAUUGUAAGGUGUUGAUCAAAUCUGGCAUGACCUUGAUUCGCUUGAUGUCCAUAUGUGCUUAAUCAUUUUGAUAGCUUUAAUGAAACACACAAAUUCAUUGUGUGUAAGUGAGUGCAAAUAUGUAAUCAAUUAGAGGCCUAGAACCAGCCAUUCAUACCAAACUGAAGCAGUGUUUUCCAGUUCUUAAAGUCUGUUAUGAAAUUGUAGUUGUAGAUAUUUAAUUCGUAAUAAAUCUCCUCAUUUGCAGACUAAGUUGGUCUUAUCUUAUAUCUACUGUUAUUUUUUGGGAAUUGUGAUAUCAAUGGCUUAAUGUCAGCUCUGACGUUCUUAUUUGAUCUUAAGCUCAAAGGCAACUCUGAUAGGCUUAAUGUCAGCUCUGAUUCUCUUCCCAGGUAUUAAGCUUAAUUUUAACCCUAAUAUUCCUUUCUUGUAUCGGCACUGUGUGUGUAUCUGAUCUUUUCUCAUGUAUGUUGAGAUUAAUGAAAGAAAUGUUGAAAGGCCAAAUGUCCUCAAAACUUACCUUGAUGACAUAGGUAGGAAGGCCUUGAGAUCU